UACGUAGGGUGCGAGCGUUGUCCGGAAUCAUUGGGCGUAAAGGGCUCGUAGGCGGUCCAUCGCGUCGGGAGUGAAAGACCGGGGCUUAACCCCGGUUCUGCUUCCGGUACGGGCAUGCUGGAGUGUGGCAGGGGAGACUGGAAUUCCUGGUGUAGCGGUGGAAUGCGCAGAUAUCAGGAGGAACACCGGUGGCGAAGGCGGGUCUCUGGGCCAUUACUGACGCUGAGGAGCGAAAGCGUGGGGAGCGAACAGG
rnacentral:rRNA from 1 species